rnacentral:rRNA from 1 species
CGAACGCUAGCGGCGGGCUUAACACAUGCAAGUCGAGCGAGAAGGAAGCAAUUCCUGUAAAGCGGCGCACGGGUGAGUAACACGUAGGUAAUCUACCUCGAAGUGGUGGAUAACCUUCCGAAAGGAGGGCUAAUACAGCAUGAGACCACGGUUUCGAAAGAGAUUGAGGUCAAAGCGGGCCACUAUACAUAAGCUCGCGCUUCGAGAUGAGCCUGCGGCCCAUCAUGGUAGUUGGUAGGGUAAUGGCCUACCAAGCCGAAGACGGGUAGCUGGUCUGAGAGGAUGAUCAGCCACACUGGAACUGAGACACGGUCCAGACUCCUACGGGAGGCAGCAGUGGGGAAUCUUGCGCAAUGGGCGAAAGCCUGACGCAGCGACGCCGCGUGAGUGAUGAAGGCCUUCGGGUUGUAAAGCUCUGUGGAGGGGGACGAAUAAGGGUUGGCUAACAUCCAGCUCGAUGACGGUACCCCUUUAGCAAGCACCGGCUAACUCUGUG